rnacentral:rRNA from 1 species
CCUACGGGAGGCAGCAGUGAGGAAUAUUUGUCAAUGGACGAGAGUCUGAACCAGCCAAGUAGCGUGAAGGAUGACUGCCCUAUGGGUUGUAAACUUCUUUUAUAUGGGAAUAAAACGUUCCACGUGUGGGAUUUUGUAUGUACCAUAUGAAUAAGGAUCGGCUAACUCCGUGCCAGCAGCCGCGGUAAUACGGAGGAUCCGAGCGUUAUCCGGAUUUAUUGGGUUUAAAGGGAGCGUAGGUGGAUUGUUAAGUCAGUUGUGAAAGUUUGCGGCUCAACCGUAAAAUUGCAGUUGAAACUGGCAGUCUUGAGUACAGUAGAGGUGGGCGGAAUUCGUGGUGUAGCGGUGAAAUGCUUAGAUAUCACGAAGAACUCCGAUUGCGAAGGCAGUUCACUGGACUGCAACUGACACUGAGGCUCGAAAGUGUGGGUAUCAAACAGGAUUAGAUACCCGUGUAGUC